GAUCUGGCUCAGGAUGAACGCUGGCGGCGUGCUUAACACAUGCAAGUCGAGCGAAGCACUUAGGAAAGAUUCUUCGGAUGAUUUCCUAUUUGACUGAGCGGCGGACGGGUGAGUAACGCGUGGGUAACCUGGCCUCAUACAGGGGGAUAACAGUUAGAAAUGACUGCUAAUACCGCAUAAGACCACAGCACCGCAUAGGUGCAGGGGUAAAAACUCCGGUGGUAUGAGAUGGACCCGCG
rnacentral:rRNA from 1 species